rnacentral:rRNA from 1 species
GGGUUGUGAGGUUAAGCGACUAAGCGUACACGGUGGAUGCCCUGGCAGUCAGAGGCGAUGAAGGACGUGCUAAUCUGCGAAAAGCGUCGGUAAGGUGAUAUGAACCGUUAUAACCGGCGAUGUCCGAAUGGGGAAACCCAGUGCAAUUCGUUGCACUAUCGUUAACUGAAUACAUAGGUUAACGAGGCGAACCGGGGGAACUGAAACAUCUAAGUACCCCGAGGAAAAGAAAUCAACCGAGAUUCCCCAGUAGCGGCGAGCGAACGGGGAGCAGCCCAGAGUCUGAAUCAGCUUGUGUGUUAGUGGAACGGUCUGGAAAGUCCGACGGUACAGGGUGAUAGUCCCGUACACCAAAAUGCACAGGCUGUGAACUCGAAGAGUAGGGCGGGACACGUGGUAUCCUGUCUGAAUAUGGGGGACCAUCCUCCAAGGCUAAAUACUCCUGACUGACCGAUAGUGAACCAGUACCGUGAGGGAAAGGCGAAAAGAACCCCGGCGAGGGGAGUGAAAAAGAACCUGAAACCGUGUACGUACAAGCAGUGGGAGCACCUUCGGGUGUGACUGCGUACCUUUUGUAUAAUGGGUCAGCGACUUAUAUUCUGUAGCAAGGUUAACCGUAUAGGGGAGCCGCAGGGAAACCGAGUCUUAACUGGGCGUUAAGUUGCAGGGUAUAGACCCGAAACCCGGUGAUCUAGCCAUGGGCAGGUUGAAGGUUGGGUAACACUAACUGGAGGACCGAACCGACUAAUGUUGAAAAAUUAGCGGAUGACUUGUGGCUGGGGUGAAAGGCCAAUCAAACCGGGAGAUAGCUGGUUCUCCCCGAAAGCUAUUUAGGUAGCGCCUCGUGAAUUCAUCUUCGGGGGUAGAGCACUGUUUCGGCUAGGGGUCAUCCCGACUUACCAACCCGAUGCAAACUACGAAUACCGAAGAAUGUUAUCACGGGAGACACACGGCGGGUGCUAACGUCCGUCGUGAAGAGGGAAACAACCCAGACCGCCAGCUAAGGUCCCAAAGUCAUGGUUAAGUGGGAAACGAUGUGGGAAGGCACAGACAGCCAGGAUGUUGGCUUAGAAGCAGCCAUCAUUUAAAGAAAGCGUAAUAGCUCACUGGUCGAGUCGGCCUGCGCGGAAGAUGUAACGGGGCUAAACCAUGCACCGAAGCUGCGGCAGCGACACUAUGUGUUGUUGGGUAGGGGAGCGUUCUGUAAGCCUGCGAAGGUGACCUGUGAGGGUUGCUGGAGGUAUCAGAAGUGCGAAUGCUGACAUAAGUAACGAUAAAGCGGGUGAAAAGCCCGCUCGCCGGAAGACCAAGGGUUCCUGUCCAACGUUAAUCGGGGCAGGGUGAGUCGACCCCUAAGGCGAGGCCGAAAGGCGUAGUCGAUGGGAAACAGGUUAAUAUUCCUGUACUUGGUGUUACUGCGAAGGGGGACGGAGAAGGCUAUGUUAGCCGGGCGACGGUUGUCCCGGUUUAAGCAUGUAGGCUGAUUGUCCAGGCAAAUCCGGAUAAUCAAGGCUGAGGUGUGAUGACGAGGCACUACGGUGCUGAAGUAACAAAUGCCCUGCUUCCAGGAAAAGCCUCUAAGCAUCAGGUAACAUCAAAUCGUACCCCAAACCGACACAGGUGGUCAGGUAGAGAAUACCAAGGCGCUUGAGAGAACUCGGGUGAAGGAACUAGGCAAAAUGGUGCCGUAACUUCGGGAGAAGGCACGCUGGUGUGUAGGUGAAGCCCCUGCGGGUGGAGCUGAGACCAGUCGAAGAUACCAGCUGGCUGCAACUGUUUAUUAAAAACACAGCACUGUGCAAACACGAAAGUGGACGUAUACGGUGUGACGCCUGCCCGGUGCCGGAAGGUUAAUUGAUGGGGUUAUCCGUAAGGAGAAGCUCUUGAUCGAAGCCCCGGUAAACGGCGGCCGUAACUAUAACGGUCCUAAGGUAGCGAAAUUCCUUGUCGGGUAAGUUCCGACCUGCACGAAUGGCGUAAUGAUGGCCAGGCUGUCUCCACCCGAGACUCAGUGAAAUUGAACUCGCUGUGAAGAUGCAGUGUACCCGCGGCAAGACGGAAAGACCCCGUGAACCUUUACUAUAGCUUGACACUGAACAUUGAGCCUUGAUGUGUAGGAUAGGUGGGAGGCUUUGAAGCGUGGACGCCAGUCUGCGUGGAGCCAACCUUGAAAUACCACCCUUUAAUGUUUGAUGUUCUAACGUUGGCCCCUUACCGGGGUUGCGGACAGUGUCUGGUGGGUAGUUUGACUGGGGCGGUCUCCUCCCAAAGCGUAACGGAGGAGCACGAAGGUUAGCUAAUCCUGGUCGGACAUCAGGAGGUUAGUGCAAUGGCAUAAGCUAGCUUGACUGCGAGCGUGACGGCGCGAGCAGGUGCGAAAGCAGGUCAUAGUGAUCCGGUGGUUCUGAAUGGAAGGGCCAUCGCUCAACGGAUAAAAGGUACUCCGGGGAUAACAGGCUGAUACCGCCCAAGAGUUCAUAUCGACGGCGGUGUUUGGCACCUCGAUGUCGGCUCAUCACAUCCUGGGGCUGAAGUAGGUCCCAAGGGUAUGGCUGUUCGCCAUUUAAAGUGGUACGCGAGCUGGGUUUAGAACGUCGUGAGACAGUUCGGUCCCUAUCUGCCGUGGGCGCUGGAGAAUUGAGGGGGGCUGCUCCUAGUACGAGAGGACCGGAGUGGACGCAUCACUGGUGUUCGGGUUGUCAUGCCAAUGGCACUGCCCGGUAGCUAAAUGCGGAAGAGAUAAGUGCUGAAAGCAUCUAAGCACGAAACUUGCCCCGAGAUGAGUUCUCCCUGAGACUUUAAGUCUCCUGAAGGAACGUUGAAGACGACGACGUUGAUAGGCCGGGUGUGUAAGCGCAGCGAUGCGUUGAGCUAACCGGUACUAAUGAACCGUGAGGCUUAACCUUACAACGCCGAAG